ACUCAAAUGAAUUGACGGGGGCUCACACAAGCGGUGGAGGAUGUGGUUUAAUUCGAAGCAACGCGAAGAACCUUACCAGGUCUUGACAUACCGGGAUUAAUCCGAUGAAAGUCGGAGGAUUGCCCUCAAGGUGUAACCGGAACAGGUGCUGCAUGGCUGUCGUCAGCUCGUGCCGUGAGGUGUUAGGUUAAGUCCUUUAACGAGCGAAACCCCUACGAUUAGUUACCAGCGGAUAACGCCGGGGACUCUAGUCGGACUGCCGCGGAAGUAGGAGGAAGGUGGGGACGACGUCAAGUCAUCAUGGCCUUUAUGAUCUGGGCUACACACGUCCUACAAUGGAUGGCACAAUGGGUAGCGAAGCUGCAAAGCGGAGCCAAUCCCAGAAAACCAUCCUCAGUUCAGAUUGUGGGCUGCAAUUCGCCCACAUGAAGCUGGAAUCGCUAGUAAUCGCGGAUCAGCUACGCCGCGGUGAAUAUGUUCCUGAGCCUUGUACACACCGCCCGU
rnacentral:rRNA from 1 species